CUAAGUUUGAUGGCGACCGGCGCACGGGUGAGUAACACGUAUCCAACCUGCCGAUGACUCGGGGAUAGCCUUUCGAAAGAAAGAUUAAUACCCGAUGGCAUAGUUCUUCCGCAUGGUAGAACUAUUAAAGAAUUUCGGUCAUCGAUGGGGAUGCGUUCCAUUAGGUUGUUGGCGGGGUAACGGCCCACCAAGCCUUCGAUGGAUAGGGGUUCUGAGAGGAAGGUCCCCCACAUUGGAACUGGGACACGGUCCAAACUCCUACGGGAGGCAGCAUG
rnacentral:rRNA from 1 species